ensembl:lncRNA
AUUUCUUACUCAUUUUCUUACUUUGUUUCUUAGUCUAUUGUCUAUACAUGUUUCUUUACCCAAAUAACAAAGAGUUCUGUCUUGUCUUAAAGCUCAUAAGGACCUGCAGCGGUCUAAGGCUUUGGAGCACAGUGAUUGGCUGAGGGGCGUGGCUUCACGUCAGCACUUCCUGUACAUACAGAUUGUCAAUAAGAAGGUGACUCUGUACACGUAUAACUGGUCAGUGGAUCUGGGCGUCUCUGAAUCAGGGUCUGGUCAGACUGGUGCAGUGGCAGAACGCCAGCGCACAUGUGGUCAACUGCCUCCUCAGACAGAAAAUGGUCCUUUUCCAUCCUUACUGCUUCUCUGUUACACCUACACAUGAGGACCUGAAACAGCCGUGUGUUAAUCGUUGGUCUUGAGGAAAGGCCCUCAUGCUGGCGGGAUCUCUGCGUGUCAGUGAGUUUAACACUGAUGAACAUGCACUGCACGUUUCUGAGAAGUUUGACAUCACAUCUCCGAGUGUGUGAGUGAGUUUGUGAAGGCUUAUAUGAGAUUAAUCUUUCUUUCUUUCUUUCUUUCUUUCUUUCUUUCUUUCUUUCUUUCUUUCUUUCUUUCUUUCUUUCUUUCUUUCUUUCUUUCUUUCCAUACUUUGGUAUGAAAAUGCCUAAACAAAAGUAACAGUAUAAAUUAAAUAACAAACAGUAAAACACACACACACACAAAAAAAUAGUAUGAAAAAGUGUGAAAAGACAAUUAUUAAGAAGAAGAGAAGAGAAUUGUGGCUUAAUUGUAAUUGUGAACCUCUGAAAGAGAGCAUGUGAUUUAUUUAGAGAUGUUUCUUGUGUGCUGCAGAGCUGGAGAGACGGAUGAAGACUGAGAAUCUGUUUGUGACGUGGCAGCAGCGCUCGGCUCAGUCCAGCUUGCCCAUCUCUAAUCCUGAAAAAAAAUCAGGGAUCCAUUACUGUAGCACUCCGCUGCUCUUUGACCCCGUCUUCCGGAAACAGAUUCAAGAGGAACAGCUGCCUCAGCCACAGAUGAAGGUCUGUCUCUCUUCCUCUUCCUCAUCCUGCAGAGUCUGUCUGCUGGCUCACACUGCAGUGAACCCAUUUACACACACACACACACACACACACACACACACACACACACAAAAAAAAGUGUUAGGAUAAUUAAUUAGGAUAAAUGAAUAUUAAUAAUAAUAACUAUAAGUAUGAAGCAUAUAAUUCCAUUGUUAGUGCAUGAUAUUUCUUUUUUGUUUUAUUUAUUUUUUUGUUGUUAUUAUUUUUAUUAUUAUUUGUUAUUAUUGAACCAUUAUUACAGUUGUUGUUUUAUUUUUCAUGUAAUUAAUUUUAAUGUAAUAUUAAUUCAUGUAUUAUAAAUAAUAUUAUUAAUUAUAAUUUUAUUAUAAUAGAAUUGGUUUAUUUAUUGUAUAUAUAGUCAUAAUUGUUAAAAAAUAUAUAUAUAUUUUGAUUAAUCAGAACUGUGAACCAUAUAAUUAUAUUACGAGUGCAUAAGAUUUAU